GUGGAUUAGAUACCCGGGUAGUCCACGCCCUAAACGAUGUCUACUAGUUGUCGGGUUUUAAUUAACUUGGUAACGCAGCUAACGCGUGAAGUAGACCGCCUGGGGAGUACGGUCGCAAGAUUAAAACUCAAAGGAAUUGACGGGGACCCGCACAAGCGGUGGAUGAUGUGGAUUAAUUCGAUGCAACGCGAAAAACCUUACCUACCCUUGACAUGGAAGGAAUCCUGGAGAGAUCUGGGAGUGCCCGAAAGGGAGCCUUCACACAGGUGCUGCACGGCUGUCGUCAGCU
rnacentral:rRNA from 1 species